CUUUUUCAUUUUCGUUUUCUCUCUCCCUCAAAGAUCUGGAUUUGGAUCUGGUUGGAUGUGCUAUCUCUUCACAAUUCACCACAAGUUAUGCCAGAGGUCAAAUCUCUAAUCUGAAAUCUUUCCCUCUCAUUUACAAUCUAGAUUUGAUUUGCUGAAAGAUCAAGACCAUGACCAGUUACGCCCCUGAUGAUGAAGAAGACCAAGAUGACGUUGAUGGUGAGUUAUGUAUCAGAGAUUCAGAGCAAGCCCUAACCCUAGAUUUCAAUAAUGUCAUCCAAGCAAGGUUCUGCACAAUUGUUUUUCUCCAUAGUUUUUGUUUACAUGAAUUUUGAAAUUUUACUAAAGUUAGUAUGUUAUGUCUCUGUUAUAAUUUGAUUUAUCAAAAAAAAAAAAAAAAUCUUGCUGCAAAGGUGGAAAAGUGAAGCCACUAAAGCAACCAAAGGCUGAAAAAAAGAAUACAAUGAGAUCUGUGGCGCGAUGGUGGAUCCAACGAGAACAAUGCUGAUAUAUUAUUUGGAGGGAUCACCAUUGUUGGUGGAAUUGUGGGAACACUGGGAGGAAGUAUUAUUCUGGAUCGCAUGAAUUCAACAAUCCCCAAUGCUUUUAAGCUUCUUUCCAUGAUUUCAGAAUUAGAGCACAUAUAGUGGAAACAUACUCCGGCCACCACCAGGAGGUUUGUGGGUUAAAAUGGUCAGCUUCUGGUCAACAGUUGGCUAGCGGUGGUAACGACAAUCUCUUACACAUUUGGGACAGAUCAGUGGCUUCUGUUAAUUCACCGAGUCAAUGGCUUCACCGGCUGGAGGAUCACACAGUUGCAGUGAAAGGCGGCUGUAAAGAAGAUGACUGGACCUAUCCCAGCUGUGGGAAUGUCAAAUUUUCAUUUAGGACAACUUGCAAUAUGCGUAACUGUACACAACCCAGACCAGCUGAUCAUAAUUCAUUUUACCCACUAACAACGGUGUUUGUGGUAGCCGGCGAACACGAUGGUGGUGUUUUAUGGUAAUUAAGCAGCGGCAACAACGGUGGCUAGCGGCCACAACCACACUCCGGCGUUAUCCGUAACCGAAUCAGCGCUGACGGUUCAAUGGUUUUAAGGCUAGAUUAGCUGCAAAUGCGAUUCCGGUCCAAUUUAUCUUCUGGUGAACGUGCUGCUGGCUAAGAGGUUCAGGAAGGUUGCUAAAUGUGUUGAGAUUGGAUUGGCACAGAUUAUGCUGCUAAUUUUCUCAUAGGUUACGUUUCUUAAUAAUAUUCUACAAGUGGAAAAUUUCUACUCCUUAUGGGUCUAACAGGUCAAUUUGGGUAAUGGGUCAAACUGGUUGAGAGUAACACGAAGUGUGUUCAAAAUGAUUUUUUUUUUUUUAACUUGGGUUGUACUUUGUCUCUAAUGGGUCAAAAUGGAUAAUCUUUGUUACAGUGGAGAUAGGUCAAACGGGUUGAAAGCCACACAAAGUGUUACAAAACAAGCAUAACUUCCCAAAUCAUCAUAUUUCGAAGUUUAAUUAUGAUCAUAAUAAUAUAGUAUUUAAUAAUCUUUUAGGAGUUUAUGCAUUAACUGUCUAUAAAAGCUUAAGAAAAGAAAAAAAAGGUGCUUGCAGGUUGGCCCAACUUGACCCAUAUUAACUCAUACUCAGUUUGACUUGUUUAGGCCCAAACCCAUUCUGACAUGUGACCCGACCCACUCAACCAGCCCUUCUUCCACCUCUAUUAUACUCCAAAAAGUUGGUCAUGUGACACUAAUGUUAAACUAUGAUGAUGUUUAUUGUAGUACAUACCCACUCUUAUGAAGGGAAAAAGCCAAGUAUAGGACCGAUUUGUUGUGUAAAAUGGUUGGUUUUAAUUUACUGGUUGCUGAAUGAUAAGGAUAUGUUUUUCUAGCACGAGAUUAUUGAUGCUACUAGAAGAGGAAGCAGGUUGUUUAACGUUGGGGGUUUUUUAGAUGAGACCACUUGUAUUUAUGGGAUCACUUUGCUUUUGUAAGGACUUGUGGGUUUAAUUUGGAUGAAAGGCUGGAUUAGGUAUCAAACAAUUCUUUUGCAAAGGUACCCAUUAACUUGUGUUGUUCAUUUGACCUUCUAUUGAUUGAAAGCAUUGUUGUGCUGCUACACAUCCUUGUUUCACCAAGUACACCUAGCUUAUUUUGUGUAUUGGCACAUAGGCUACCCAUCCAUACCUGCUUGU